UAUCCGUGGUGAGGACAGUCUCUAUCAUAGUCUUUGAAUCGCUCCCAAGCAUCGUAGAAUGAUUCUUUGGCUCCUUGUUUAAAUCCCAAAAUUCUGGCCCGAACUA